rnacentral:tRNA from 1 species
CGGUGUAUGGGAAAGCUUGGCUAAUCCGCUUGCAUGGGGUGCAAGAAAUCGCAGGUUCGAAUCCUGUUACACCGACCA